GAGAAACAUAAUUGAGGUGGAAGGAUCCAGAAGAAAGGAACCAGUGAUGAUGAGGACAGAGGGCUCUCCACGGGAAGGUGGGAGAGAAUUUAGUUCUCUGUGCCGUGAAGAUGGGAUUGGAGCCAUACAUCCUCUUUCAUCUCAAAAUCAAGUCAAGGGGUUUAUUGCCUGGGGCCGAGAGCAGGUAUGUUCUCUCUUGUCAAGAGGCUAGGCUUGAAAUCCGUGCUUUGUGGAUUUGGUGGAUUCUUUCAGCUGCUAUUUGAAUGGUCUAGGUAUGCCUUGCAGCUUAAACCAUUUCUUACAGUGGAGAUGAAGAGAGUCCUUCCAUCCAUCUGCUGGACCUGCUGGGCCUCAGGGCUUUCUCUGAAGUGGUAGGGGGAAGAUGUCACAGAGGAAAUGUAAAGAAAAGUCUACCUCGGCAGUCUACAGCGUGGUGGAUAAAAAAAGAGCAGGAAGAGUCUGGCGAGGCGAUCAGCCUGAUGUAGGUGCUGAGUGUCCCUCACAAAGUCCCAGCAUGAAAGGGGUGGCUGAGAGCCGCUGGGUGGGCCCCAAGUCCAUGGUGCUAGAGCGAGGUCAGGCUGAGGCAGGGCUGGAGGUGGUUGCAUGGAUGGCACUACAGGCACUUAGAGGGGUCUAAUCUGGGUCCAUUGGGGGCUAUGCCCCACAAGAGUGGUUCCUGUGCCCACGGGUCCCACCAUGAACCCCCCAGCCCCAGGCCUGAGCUCAUAAGUAAGCAGGGAGUCCAGAAGCCAAGCAGCCAAGGGCGUCCCUGACACCCAAAGCAAUGCCACCACAUACAAGGAUAGCCAGACGGAUCCAAGCUGAGGGCUGGACAGUGCCCACGGAGCCAUUUAAAGUCUUGUGUAUGUCUUUUUUUCCUCGUUUUUAAUUUCAUUUGACACUUAUGUACAAUAAAGUAUUGUGUAUGUCUAAAGCUUAAAUCAGGUGGGCCAUUUCCAUUUUCCUGGGUUCUGUUGGUUUGUUUGCUUUGUUUUCCUGCUGGUAAUAGGUAGUACCUGAGGAAGGCAAGAAAGGAUAUAAAGAAAAUAAGAAACAACACUUUCUCUGCACAUCCAAAUUGUGGCAAGGAUUUUUGCAGAUUGCCACCAGUUCACUGAGAGGAGUCAUUGAAAACAUGGCAUUGAGGACAGAGACUGCCACUUCAGAAUUUUCUACAUCCAACUGCUGAAGCCACUCGAAGAUAUUUCCCUCAGAGAACCAUAACCAGCUUUGGAGAAGAUGCUUCCACAUAGCUUGUUUCACAGCAUCUCAUCUCUCAUUAAAACCUUGUUGAGGGAGCAUUACUGUCUGAGCAAUGGACAUAGCUCUCAUACGAACCUUUUCAGCUAACACCGGAUAAGCCAGCUUUCUGACAGCCUCUUUCACAUCCUUGGUGCACCCUACAAUUUUUGGCAAAGUCUUUGCUGAUGGUGCAAUACAUGAUAACACUGCCUGUCUAAGUUCUGGAUUCAAAUCAAUCAUUUUCGAUCAAAGUAGCAUAUGCAUUAACCACUGGGCAUUCAUCAUCCUUUGGAUCCUGAAGUCGUGAAAGCGCCAGAACUGCCUGUAUUCUCACAUUUGGAAUCUUAUCUUUCAGUCUAAUAAGCAUGGCUUCAUUAAUUUUGUCAAACACACCAUCAUCAAUCUGAGCUUCUUCUGGCAUACUUCUCAAAAGCUUGUUUAUGCAGCUCCUGGUUCUUGAACUAACGUAGGCAUCAGCACAGCUGAUUCUCAUUCAGGAGAAGACAGUGCUGUGCCCAGGGGCCCCUGAGCCAUUGCCCAGCUUUCCAGCUUUCCAGGAAGUCUGCACUGGAGAAGCAUUCAACCUCCUCUGAGCUAACAUUUUCAUGUGCACACGUGAUUAUGAGUGUGAUACAGACAUUAUUUUACUUGUGUAACUAAUUUUUAAAUCAGAC
rnacentral:lncRNA from 1 species